AAUAUUGGACAAUGGGCGCAAGCCUGAUCCAGCCAUGCCGCGUGUGUGAAGAAGGCCUUCGGGUUGUAAAGCACUUUUGUUGGGGAAGAAAAGCCAUGGGCUAAUACCCUGUGGUUCUGACGGUACCCAAAGAAUAAGCACCGGCUAACUUCGUGCCAGCAGCCGCGGUAAUACGUAGGGGGCGAGCGUUGUCCGGAUUCAUUGGGCGUAAAGAGCUCGUAGGCGGCUCAGUAAGUCAGGUGUGAAAGCUCCGAGCUCAACUCGGAGAGGCCACUUGAUACUGCUGUGGCUAGAAUCCAGUAGGGGAGCGUGGAAUUCCUGGUGUAGCGGUGAAAUGCGCAGAUAUCAGGAGGAACACCAGCGGCGAAGGCGGCGCUCUGGGCUGGAAUUGACGCUGAGGAGCGAAAGUGUGGGUAGCAAAC
rnacentral:rRNA from 1 species